rnacentral:rRNA from 1 species
UACGGAGGGGGCUAGCGUUAUUCGGAAUUACUGGGCGUAAAGCGCACGUAGGCGGAUUAGCAAGUCAGAGGUGAAAUCCCAGGGCUCAACCUUGGAACUGCCUUUGAAACUGCUAGUCUUGAGUUCGAGAGAGGUGAGUGGAAUUCCGAGUGUAGAGGUGAAAUUCGUAGAUAUUCGGAGGAACACCAGUGGCGAAGGCGGCUCACUGGCUCGAUACUGACGCUGAGGUGCGAAAGCGUGGGGAGCAAACAGG